CCCUGUUAUCCGCUUCGCAGCGCCAGCGGCAGUCGCGGCCCCGGAGGCAUCGCCGCUGGUGGCUGCAGCAUUCCCGGCUCCGAGAAGGAGCCAGGCUGGCUCUCCUGCUCCCAGCUAUUUCCGAGAGCGCAGCUGGACUGAUCCCCGCGGGACAUCGAGCCCCUUCCCUGCCCCGGCCCUCCUGCUUGGCCCAGUGCCACCCCCACAGCACUUGUUUCCUGGAGGGAGGGCAAGAGAUGGGUGAUUUCAGGGGAGCCAGGCAUGGAGCUGCAGCCAGCAGGAGACAGGAGAUCAGCCACAGGUGCCCAGCACCCACGGUCACUGGAUAGGGCGAGCUGGUGCAGGCUGCCCUGGCACCCCUAACACGGUGACAGCGAGGGCUGAGCCCAACCUGAGCUUGCACAAGCAUGGCCACAGCACCCACGGGCACAGCCCAUGCUCCCACUGUACAUCCAAAGCAGCAGCAGGACCCGGCCCUCCUUCUCUUCCAACUGGAGCAAGACCUGAGGAAGGUGCAUACCAGCUU